CUGACACCAGAGCAGCUUAAAGAGAAAAGGAAGCAGUUGUUUCUCAAAUCCACAACUGAGGCCAGGCAACGAGCUAAACAGAAGCGGAUUGAAGAGGAAUUAGAAAGAGAAAAGCAAAUGAAAAUGGAGGAGGAAAAGCGCUUAGAGAAGCCAGACGUGAUUUGGAGGAUUUACGUGCUAAAUACCGAGAGCUUUCUGAGAGAGUGGAGCAGCGAAAACGCUUGAAGCCAAAUGGCAACAACACAAAUGGGAACCAAAAUGGUUCUGGAGGUGUGGGCCGUGGUGAAAGAUUGAAUGUUGCUCAAAGAGAGAGGAUGCGCCUCCUGACAACAGCUGCAUUUGAUCGAGGGAAGGGCGAGGACACUUUUGGUAGCAUUUGGGAGUUUUGUGGGGUAGAAAAUGAUGGAAAGCAUUUGAUUUGGAUAAAUGAACUCCUACUAUUAUGG